rnacentral:rRNA from 1 species
UGUACCCGCGGCAAGACGGAAAGACCCCGUGAACCUUUACUAUAGCUUGACACUGAACAUUGAGCCUUGAUGUGUAGGAUAGGUGGGAGGCUUUGAAGUGUGGACGCCAGUCUGCAUGGAGCCGACCUUGAAAUACCACCCUUUAAUGUUUGAUGUUCUAACGUGGACCCGUAAUCCGGGUUGCGGACAGUGUCUGGUGGGUAGUUUGACUGGGGCGGUCUCCUCCUAAAGAGUAACGGAGGAGCACGAAGGUUGGCUAAUCCUGGUCGGACAUCAGGAGGUUAGUGCAAUGGCAUAAGCCAGCUUGACUGCGAGCGUGACGGCGCGAG